UGGCUCAGAUUGAACGCUGGCGGCAUGCCUUACACAUGCAAGUCGAACGGCAGCAUAGGAGCUUGCUCCUGAUGGCGAGUGGCGAACGGGUGAGUAAUAUAUCGGAACGUGCCCUAGAGUGGGGGAUAACUAGUCGAAAGAUUAGCUAAUACCGCAUACGAUCUACGGAUGAAAGUGGGGGAUCGCAAGACCUCAUGCUCCUGGAGCGGCCGAUAUCUGAUUAGCUAGUUGGUGGGGUAAAAGCCUACCAAGGCGACGAUCAGUAGCUGGUCUGAGAGGACGACCAGCCACACUGGGACUGAGACACGGCCCAGACUCCUACGGGAGGCAGCAGUGGGGAAUUUUGGACAAUGGGGGCAACCCUGAUCCAGCAAUGCCGCGUGAGUGAAGAAGGCCUUCGGGUUGUAAAGCUCUUUUGUCAGGGAAGAAACGGUUUUGGCUAAUAUCCARRACUAAUGACGGUACCUGAAGAAUAAGCACCGGCUAACUACGUGCCAGCAGCCGCGGUAAUACGUAGGGUGCAAGCGUUAAUCGGAAUUACUGGGCGUAAAGCGUGCGCAGGCGGUUGUGUAAGACAGAUGUGAAAUCCCCGGGCUCAACCUGGGAAUUGCAUUUGUGACUGCACGGCUAGAGUGUGUCAGAGGGGGGUAGAAUUCCACGUGUAGCAGUGAAAUGCGUAGAUAUGUGGAGGAAUACCGAUGGCGAAGGCAGCCCCCUGGGAUAACACUGACG
rnacentral:rRNA from 2 species